rnacentral:lncRNA from 1 species
UUAUUCAACAGAUACUUGUCGAGCACCUAUGACGUGCUCGGCCCUGGGGAUACAGCAGGGAAACGGAGAGAAUGUCUUUUCUGGGGAAGAAGGGGGAUAGAGAAGGAAAGCAGAAGACCAUGUGAGAUGAAGGAAACCAAAGGGGUGACGAGAGAGCAUUGAUUAAACACCUACUGUGGGGCAGCCCCUGAGCAUGGUUAAGAGCCACGGCGCUCUAGGAGUUCAUUGGCUGGUGGAGAAGAUGGAAACAGACACAAAAUGGCGGACGGUGAGGCUGGGGGUCUGGUCAGGAAACCACUGCAGAACUGAAGAGAAGAUGAUACAGCUGGAAUCGGGGCAGUGACGGGGCAAGGAGGACAGGAGGGCAGCUGUGAGAGCUGUUUAGGAGGUAACGUCCAGAGGCCCGGGGGAGGGCGUGGACCGAAGUGUCCUCCCUGUGGUGGGAACAUGGGAGGAGGAGCAGGUUGGGGGGAUGGGGAGUUUGCCUUUAGACCUCCUAAGUUAGAGGGGCUGUGGGCCAGGCAAUUGGGGGCAGCUGGACCCUGCAGUCAGGAGGGCAGGAGAGUGAGCAGGGCCAAAAUACAGACAGUUGCUCUGUGGAUGAACUUCUAGAAGUAAGGAGUGAUUCUUGGAUGCUCCCAGUGACAUAUCGGUAGAGGCAGCACAGAGAGAUCUGUCUUUGACGAUUUAGCCGGCUUUUCCGAAUGAUUCAAGACCCGGGUCCUGAAGGAUACGGGACAUCAGGGGUCAUUAGUCCACACUUGGACCACUUUAUUGUGUUCCUCACUCCCCCGCCCCCAACCAGCUGGCACCCAGGCUGGGGGUGGGUAGAGAGGAGGUGCCCCCUCUCUGUCGUCUUCUUACCCAGCCUGGUUCUUGGCUCAGCAGCAGCAGCAGCAGCAUCUGGGAACAUGUUAGAAACGCGAAUUCUCAGCCCACCUCAGGCCUGCUGCAUUUUAAUAGACCCCCAAGUGGCUCAUGAGCAAAAUAGGAUUUCAGAAGCCCUGGCCCGGGCCCAUAGUUCUCACUCUUGGCUACACAUUUGAAUCACCAGGAAAGCGUCAUGAAAUACUGGCUCCCACCCCCAGAGCCUCUGAUCUGCUUGAUCUGGGGUGAGGCCCAGGCUGCAGGAUGUGUACUGCUCCCUGGGUGAUUCUAACGCACAUUCAGGGUGAGAACCCCAGCCCAAUCUGCUACCCAGCUUGGAAAGGUUGAAAGUGAGUGACUUUGUAGAAAUCACUUCGCAUCUUUGGGCCUCAGGUUGGAAAUCUGCAACAAAAUCCAUCCUGUACCCUCUGCCUGGCAGAAGCUCAGAGGAGGGCAGGUGAUGCGGGAGGGCUCCAUAACCGUGAAGAGCUGGCUGGCAGCCACAUAGUUGUUUGAAAUCCAGGCUCAGCAGCAGCAAACCUUCCCCAGGUGUCUACUUCCUGCCUGCCAGACAGGAAACUGCUGAGGUGAGGAGUCUGGGGGCACCCCAUCCCUACCCCGGAGGAGUUCCGUCAGGUGGAAAAGAUCAUCAAAGACCAGAGGGCGGAGAGCCCGCCACACGUUGGGAGACGCAUCUGCCAGGUGUUGGGGGGGGGCACCCCAAUGCCAUGCCCGGCUAUGGUAGAUGGAGAAGAAGGACUCCAGGCUCUGCUCUUCCCCAGGACAUGCCACACAGGAGACACGACCAUGCCUCUGGGUAGCCCCUAGGCUGUGAACCCCCAGACUCACCCGGGGUGCAGGGCUGUAAUUGUGCUGUGUGUGCCCAUCUGCACCUGCUGGUUCCCCCAGUGCUGGGUCAGCAUCAUUCUCCAAGUCACCAUAAAGCCUCUGGAAAUGUCAGUUUUUAGUGCUGCCUCGUAAAUAGCACACAGAGAGGUUUAGGUAAGAUUGACUUAACUGCUUCCCUAGUGGCUCACAGGUAAGACCUGCAAAUUUUCAUCGUUGUAAAUAACCUUGUAAUCAAUAGCCUCGCACAUUAAGCUUUUUCCGUAUUUUGGAUUCUGGCUUUAGGCUGGAUUCCCAGGUGUGAGAUUACUGGGUCAAGGUUUUAAAACGUUUAGUACAAAUUAUUUAGGCAAAUAAUUUAGGCAAAUAAUUGCCAAAUUAUUUUUCCAAAAGGAAAACAGUGUUUUUUUGCCGUUUAAUUUUUUUCAGGAUAAACAAAUUGUUUAAUUUUUCUUUAAUAAAGUGUGCUAUUUUUUUUCCUUUGGGCUUUCUUCUGUCUAGGCUUCCGAAAUCCUUCCCUAUGCAGAGGUUUGAUAGCUAUUCAAUUAUGAUAGCUUCUGUGACUGAUUGUUAUAAGUUGUGUAGCCUUUAUUUUGGUGUUUGGCGUGAGACGAGGCUCUGCGUGGCUGCUCGUGGCUUAUCAGAGAGAAGUCGUGUUGACAUGGGCAAGCUCCUCUCUUGUUCUCUGGACUCGUCCUUCACUCCACAGGGUCAGGCAGAAGCAAGAUAACAGGGGCAUCAGAGAGCGUGGGGUGCUGAUGGUAGUUUUCCUAUCUUGAUAAGGAGAUUCACCGUUUCUUUAUCUGGUCUGCUCGCAAGUGGCCUUAUUUUCUUUAUAGGUAGCUUGACAUUUACUCAUUUGCUUGAAAUUAGGCGGAAGUCCCCUGGAAUGGAAACUUCCUUGAGCUAUUUAAAAGUCAGAGUAGGGAAAGAUGCUUAAGAUGAUGCAGACAUUCUUAAAAGGGACUGAAACCGCCCUGGCAUGAACAAAAUGUUGUCAACUGGGUGAAGGCAAACCUCAGGACUGUGGCUUUCAACUGGGGGAAGCUUUGCCCCCCAGGGGACAUCUGGCUAUGUCUGGAGACACUGUAGGUUGUCACCACUGGGAACUGGGUGCUACUGGCAUCCACUGGGUAGAGGCCAGGGAUGCGGCUAGUUAUCCUUCCAUGCACGGUUCUGCCCCCCAUCCCAAUAGACAGUUAUCUGGCCUGAAAUGUCAGUGGUGCUGAGGUUGAGAAACCUUUCCUUAGAAUCUAUCCAUACAAGACUUGACUUUGAGCAGAUUACCCUGGUGCUGCAAAGACCCCUGGCCAGGCCACAGUCAGGAUGUGCCCUGGGGUGGAGAAGGUGGAACUGGUGGAGAGGUGUGUGAGGCAAGAGGCUAUGCCGGGGGUUGUGGAUUCAUUCCCCUGGGUAGCAGGAGGCACUGGGGGCUCUGAGUUGGAGGGGCCUCCUCAGCUCAUCCAAAGAUGUCCAAUUGCCGCAGAGUGAACGGUUCCAGGGAGAAUGAUCCCCCCACCCGGCUUGGGCAGACCCCUGGAUGCCCACAUCCCCCUGGAGGGGCUCUGGGUCUCCCCUGGAUGGUACAUAGUUGUCCACAGUUCAAUUCUAUAAAUGUUAAUGGGAUUCUGUGCGGGGCACCUUCCAUGUGUCCCUCAGUAUCCACUCUCCAUCCUUCUCAGGUCCUUGUGGGCCCCCAGAG